UACGUAGGGUGCGAGCGUUGUCCGGAAUCCCUGGGCGUAAAGGGCGCGUAGGCGGCUCAUGAAGGCUGUGGUGAAAGUCCGGGGCUCAACCUCGGAUCGGCCGUGGCGACUCGUGGGCUGGAGCACUGUAGAGGCGGGUGGAAUUCCGGGUGUAGCGGUGGAAUGCGUAGAGAUCCGGAAGAACACCAGUGGCGAAGGCGGCCCGCUGGGCAGUGGCUGACGCUGAGGCGCGACAGCGUGGGGAGCAAACAGG
rnacentral:rRNA from 1 species